ensembl:lncRNA
GCGGCAUAUAAGUCUCAUAAAUAAAAUAAAUAAAAUAUUACCACAACCAAGGCCAACAUUUAUGUUGCUAAGAGAGCUAUCUGUUAACGGUCAGUAAAGUGUUGUAAGUCAAGGACUACCUGGGUUACUCGUUGAGCCAGAUACCACCUAUUCUAAUACCUGUGUGUUUGGAUCUUUGCCAACAUCCGUUUGGUUUCCCCCCACACACACCCCUUUUGUUCUUUCUGCCUCUCUCCACUCCAGAAGGAAAUAAUUUGGCAGCUCUCUAAAUCGGUAAAUAUGAAGGUAGAAUUACAGGAAGGAAAAAAAGUUUGCACAGUGGCUUGGGGACUGCCCUGAUAUGAUUUCUUAUUUUUUACAUAAGCCUUUCCCAGAAAUAUUACCUAGCUGGGAGGAGGAAAAAAAAAAAACAAUUUGGUUGGUUCAAGUAGGAAAAAUUAGCAGAAGCCGGAGCCAUUUGACGGAGAGACCCAAGGAACGCCGCUAUCGAAAUGGACCGAUUCUUCUUCUUUCUGGUGUUAGGGGUCCUUGUCGGGUUGGUUUGCUGCUCAGGAAAAGAUUUAAAUGAACUCCAAAACCCAAAGAAGCACAACCAUGCCUGCCCCUGUGAUGGAUUCAGUUUACAUAGUUUGUCAGAACAUCGCAAACAUCGUCCCCAUCGCAAGAGCAAGCAACAUGCACUCCGUAAGGCCAAAUGCAAGAGGUUUUUGAAACACUGCGCUUUUAACGGGAUGCACAUUCCCUUAUAGUUUAUCUUGGUUCACGGCAAGACCCCCGAGGGGAUUAUUAUCCACGACACAAUGUUGAUUCUUCGGUAUGCGCCUUUUUCUUUUAAAAAAAAAUAUAUAUUGUUUGCUCUCGGAAACCCUUUGGGUUGGUUGGAAAUAAAGCUCCAACUUGAGGCCUUUGUGGGAGUGAAUGGCCUGUAAAGAGUUGUGUGGACAAAUAAAAGUAAUAAUAGAACUUGCUAUAUGUUGGGCACGUUGCCUGAAGGCCUCUGACGGCAAAAAGGAGGCUGGGGGCGACGCACGCAAGGGAGUUUAGUCAGUGGAUGACAUCCCCUGAAAAUAAGACCUGGUGCCUUUUUGGGUGGCAAAGAAAUAUAUAAGACAGGGUCUUAUUUUCGGGGAAACACCGUACAAGAACAAGGGACUAAUUGCCAGGCUUUCUAGUUCCUCUUUGGAAAACGAAGUUAUAAACUCGUUCAGCCACAUUCAAGCACUUUCUUCCUCAAAAUAUCUGGUGGAGAAAAUUUGAAAUAGCACUCCUCGUGUUACUCUUCAGCUCAGUUCACCACGAUUGAACCGUUGCCACUAGAAUAUAACCUUGCAAGUUGCAGUGAGAUCUUAGAAACAGGUUCCUCAAAAGAGUGGCAUGAGUUCCUGAUUUUUAUUCUAAAUAGGCCCAACACAAUUGGCUUAAUCAGACUGAUUGCAAACCCGGGAAUUCACAGAGUUAAGGAGGAAGUCAGAAAAACUGUCAUAUGAAUCAACCCUCUUUGGUUAGUAAUAGCAAUGCCACUAAGAUAUAUAUACCACUUCCCAGGGCUCUACAGCCCUCUCUGAGCAGUUUACAGAGUCAGUCUCUUGCUCCCACUAAUCUGGGUCCUCAUUUUACUGACCUCGGAAGGACAGAAGGCUGAGCCAACCUUGAACCGAUCAGGAUUGAACUGAUGGCAGUCGGCAGAGUUAAGUCUGCAAUACUGCAUCCUAACC